rnacentral:tRNA from 1 species
GGACGGUAGCUCAUGCUGGAGAGAGCAGCGGUGUCAAAACCGAAGAUCGCCGGUUCGAUUCCGGUUCGUCCGCCA